UACGGGGGGAGCAAGCGUUGUUCGGAUUUACUGGGCGUAAAGGGCGCGUAGGCGGCGCGACAAGUCACUUGUGAAAUCUCCGGGCUUAACCCGGAGCGGCCAAGUGAUACUGUAGUGCUAGAGUGCGGAAGGGGCUACUGGAAUUCUCGGUGUAGCGGUGAAAUGCGUAGAUAUCGAGAGGAACACCUGCGGCGAAGGCGGGUAGCUGGGCCGACACGUGACGCUGAGGCGCGAAAGCCAGGGGAGCGAACGGG
rnacentral:rRNA from 1 species